rnacentral:rRNA from 1 species
UACGUAGGGGGCAAGCGUUGUCCGGAAUCAUUGGGCGUAAAGAGCGUGUAGGCGGCUCGGUAAGUCCGCUGUGAAAGUCCAGGGCUCAACCCUGGAAUGCCGGUGGAAACUGUCGAGCUAGAAUCCGGAAGAGGCGAGUGGAAUUCCUGGUGUAGCGGUGAAAUGCGCAGAUAUCAGGAGGAACACCACUGGCGAAGGCAGCUCGCUGGGACGGUAUUGACGCUGAGACGCGAAAGCGUGGGGAGCAAACAGG